CUGUGAGUGACUGAGCGUGUGUGUCUGUGAGUGAGUAUGUGUGUCUGAGUGACUGAGCGUGUGUCUGUGAGUGACAGUGUGUGUGAGUGACAGAGCAUCUGUGUGUGUGUGACAGAGUGUGUGUCUGUGAGUGACUGUGCGUCUGUGUGUGUCUGUGAGUGACAGCGUGUGUGUGUGUGAGUGACUGAGUGUGUGUGUGAGUGACUGAGUGUGUGUGUGUGUGAGUGCGUCUGUG